rnacentral:rRNA from 1 species
UACGGGGGGGGCAAGCGUUGUUCGGAAUUACUGGGCGUAAAGGGCUCGUAGGCGGCCAACUAAGUCAGACGUGAAAUCCCUCGGCUUAACCGGGGAACUGCGUCUGAUACUGGAUGGCUUGAGUUUGGGAGAGGGAUGCGGAAUUCCAGGUGUAGCAGUGAAAUGCGUAGAGAUCGGAAGGAACGUCAAUGGCGAAGGCAGCUGUCUGGACUGAUACUGACACUGAGGCGCGAAAGCGUGGGGAGCAAACAGG